rnacentral:rRNA from 1 species
CGAAAGCCUGACGGAGCAACGCCGCGUGUGGGAAGAAGGCUCUUGGGCUGUCAACCACUUUUCUCAGGGAAGAAUAACUGACGGUACCUGAGGAAUCAGCAUCGGCUAACUCCGUGCCAGCAGCCGCGGUAAUACGGAGGAUGCAAGCGUUAUCCGGAAUUAUUGGGCGUAAAGCGUCCGCAGGCGGCUUAUCAAGUCUGCUGUUAAAGGCUGGGGCUCAACUCCGGUUCGGCAGUGGAAACUGGGAAGCUAGGGUAUGGUAGGGGUAGAGGGAAUUCCCAGUGUAGCGGUGAAAUGCGUAGAUAUUGGGAAGAACACCAGUGGCGAAGGCGCUCUACUGGGCCAUAACUGACGCUGAGGGACGAAAGCUAGGGGAGCG